AGACCUUCGGGUCUAGUGGCGCACGGGUGCUGUAACGCGUGGGAAUCUGCCCUUGGGUUCGGGAUAACAGUUGGAAACGACUGCUAAUACCGGAUGAUGACUUCGGUCCAAAGAUUUAUCGCCCAGGGAUGAGCCCGCGUAGGAUUAGCUAGUUGGUGAGGUAAAGGCUCACCAAGGCGACGAUCCUUAGCUGGUUUGAGAGGAUGAUCAGCCACACUGGGACUGAGACACGGCCCAGACUCCUACGGGAGGCAGCAGUGGGGAAUAUUGGACAAUGGGCGAAAGCCUGAUCCAGCAAUGCCGCGUGAGUGAUGAAGGCCUUAGGGUUGUAAAGCUCUUUUACCCGGGAAGAUAAUGACUGUACCGGGAG
rnacentral:rRNA from 1 species